rnacentral:rRNA from 1 species
AACGAACGCUGGCGGCAUGCCUAACACAUGCAAGUCGAACGAGACCUUCGGGUCUAGUGGCGCACGGGUGCGUAACGCGUGGGAACCUGCCCUUAGGUUCGGAAUAACUCCCCGAAAGGGGUGCUAAUACCGGAUAAUGUCUUCGGACCAAAGAUUUAUCGCCUUUGGAUGGGCCCGCGUUGGAUUAGCUUGUUGGUAGGGUAAAAGCCUACCAAGGCGACGAUCCAUAGCUGGUCUGAGAGGAUGAUCAGCCACACUGGGACUGGGACACGGCCCAGACUCCUACGGGAGGCAGCAGUGGGGAAUAUUGGACAAUGGGCGAAAGCCUGAUCCAGCAAUGCCGCGUGAGUGAUGAAGGCCUUAGGGUUGUAAAGCUCUUUUACCCGGGAUGAUAAUGACAGUACCGGGAGAAUAAGCUCCGGCUAACUCCGUG